UCCUGGUGGCUCAGGUGGUAAAGCAUCUGCCUGCAAUGCGGGAGACCCAGGUUCGAUCCCUGGAUCAGGAA
rnacentral:tRNA from 1 species